UUAAGCGACUAAGCGUACACGGUGGAUGCCCUGGCAGUCAGAGGCGAUGAAGGACGUGCUAAUCUGCGAAAAGCGUCGGUAAGGUGAUAUGAACCGUUAUAACCGGCGAUGUCCGAAUGGGGAAACCCAGUGCAAUUCGUUGCACUAUCGUUAACUGAAUACAUAGGUUAACGAGGCGAACCGGGGGAACUGAAACAUCUAAGUACCCCGAGGAAAAGAAAUCAACCGAGAUUCCCCCAGUAGCGGCGAGCGAACGGGGAGCAGCCCAGAGUCUGAAUCAGCUUGUGUGUUAGUGGAACGGUCUGGAAAGUCCGACGGUACAGGGUGAUAGUCCCGUACACCAAAAUGCACAGGCUGUGAACUCGAAGAGUAGGGCGGGACACGUGGUAUCCUGUCUGAAUAUGGGGGGACCAUCCUCCAAGGCUAAAUACUCCUGACUGACCGAUAGUGAACCAGUACCGUGAGGGAAAGGCGAAAAGAACCCCGGCGAGGGGAGUGAAAAAGAACCUGAAACCGUGUACGUACAAGCAGUGGGAGCACCUUCGGGUGUGACUGCGUACCUUUUGUAUAAUGGGUCAGCGACUUAUAUUCUGUAGCAAGGUUAACCGUAUAGGGGAGCCGCAGGGAAACCGAGUCUUAACUGGGCGUUAAGUUGCAGGGUAUAGACCCGAAACCCGGUGAUCUAGCCAUGGGCAGGUUGAAGGUUGGGUAACACUAACUGGAGGACCGAACCGACUAAUGUUGAAAAAUUAGCGGAUGACUUGUGGCUGGGGGUGAAAGGCCAAUCAAACCGGGAGAUAGCUGGUUCUCCCCGAAAGCUAUUUAGGUAGCGCCUCGUGAACUCAUCUUCGGGGGUAGAGCACUGUUUCGGCUAGGGGGUCAUCCCGACUUACCAACCCGAUGCAAACUACGAAUACCGAAGAAUGUUAUCACGGGAGACACACGGCGGGUGCUAACGUCCGUCGUGAAGAGGGAAACAACCCAGACCGCCAGCUAAGGUCCCAAAGUCAUGGUUAAGUGGGAAACGAUGUGGGAAGGCACAGACAGCCAGGAUGUUGGCUUAGAAGCAGCCAUCAUUUAAAGAAAGCGUAAUAGCUCACUGGUCGAGUCGGCCUGCGCGGAAGAUGUAACGGGGCUAAACCAUGCACCGAAGCUGCGGCAGCGACACUAUGUGUUGUUGGGUAGGGGAGCGUUCUGUAAGCCUGCGAAGGUGACCUGUGAGGCAUGCUGGAGGUAUCAGAAGUGCGAAUGCUGACAUAAGUAACGAUAAAGCGGGUGAAAAGCCCGCUCGCCGGAAGACCAAGGGUUCCUGUCCAACGUUAAUCGGGGCAGGGUGAGUCGACCCCUAAGGCGAGGCCGAAAGGCGUAGUCGAUGGGAAACAGGUUAAUAUUCCUGUACUUGGUGUUACUGCGAAGGGGGGACGGAGAAGGCUAUGUUAGCCGGGCGACGGUUGUCCCGGUUUAAGCAUGUAGGCUGAUUAUCCAGGCAAAUCCGGAUAAUCAAGGCUGAGGUGUGAUGACGAGGCACUACGGUGCUGAAGUAACAAAUGCCCUGCUUCCAGGAAAAGCCUCUAAGCAUCAGGUAACAUCAAAUCGUACCCCAAACCGACACAGGUGGUCAGGUAGAGAAUACCAAGGCGCUUGAGAGAACUCGGGUGAAGGAACUAGGCAAAAUGGUGCCGUAACUUCGGGAGAAGGCACGCUGGUGUGUAGGUGAAGCCCCUGCGGAUGGAGCUGAGACCAGUCGAAGAUACCAGCUGGCUGCAACUGUUUAUUAAAAACACAGCACUGUGCAAACACGAAAGUGGACGUAUACGGUGUGACGCCUGCCCGGUGCCGGAAGGUUAAUUGAUGGGGUUAUCCGUAAGGAGAAGCUCUUGAUCGAAGCCCCGGUAAACGGCGGCCGUAACUAUAACGGUCCUAAGGUAGCGAAAUUCCUUGUCGGGUAAGUUCCGACCUGCACGAAUGGCGUAAUGAUGGCCAGGCUGUCUCCACCCGAGACUCAGUGAAAUUGAACUCGCUGUGAAGAUGCAGUGUACCCGCGGCAAGACGGAAAGACCCCGUGAACCUUUACUAUAGCUUGACACUGAACAUUGAGCCUUGAUGUGUAGGAUAGGUGGGAGGCUUUGAAGCGUGGACGCCAGUCUGCGU
rnacentral:rRNA from 1 species